AGACUAUUACAGCAACAGAGAGAUGCCGAGCGUAACAAGAAGGAAGGAGAAUUUAGAGAAAGGAAAGCGAAUGAAGAUGAACUCAUUAAAUCAACAAUGAUUGAACGAGCUCGGCUUGAUAAAGAAAAGUUUGACCUGGAGAAUCAACUUCAAGAGG
rnacentral:sRNA from 1 species